rnacentral:rRNA from 1 species
CCUACGGGGUGCAGCAGUGGGGAAUAUUGGACAAUGGGCGAAAGCCUGAUCCAGCCAUGCCGCGUGUGUGAAGAAGGCCUUCGGGUUGUAAAGCACUUUCAGUGGGGAAGAAAGCCUUGGGGCUAAUACCCUCGAGGAAGGACAUCACCCACAGAAGAAGCACCGGCUAACUCCGUGCCAGCAGCCGCGGUAAUACGGAGGGUGCGAGCGUUAAUCGGAAUUACUGGGCGUAAAGCGCGCGUAGGCGGUCUGAUAAGCCGGUUGUGAAAGCCCCGGGCUCAACCUGGGAACGGCAUCCGGAACUGUCAGGCUAGAGUGCAGGAGAGGAAGGUAGAAGUCCCGGUGUAGCGGUGAAAUGCGUAGAGAUCGGGAGGAAUACCAGUGGCGAAGGCGGCCUUCCGGACUGACACUGACGCUGAGGUGCGAAAGCGUGGGUAGCAAACAGGAUUAGAUACCUGGUAGUC